GUGAGGAAUAUUGGUCAAUGGGCGGGAGCCUGAACCAGCCAAGUCGCGUGAAGGAAGAAGGAUCUAUGGUUCGUAAACUUCUUUUGCAGGGGAAUAAAGUGCAGGACGUGUCCUGUUUUGUAUGUACCCUGAGAAUAAGGAUCGGCUAACUCCGUGCCAGCAGCCGCGGUAAUACGGAGGAUCCGAGCGUUAUCCGGAUUUAUUGGGUUUAAAGGGUGCGUAGGUGGUUUGAUAAGUCAGCGGUGAAAGUUUGCAGCUUAACUGUAAAAAUGCCGUUGAAACUGUCGGACUUGAGUGUAAAUGAGGUAGGCGGAAUGCGUGGUGUAGCGGUGAAAUGCAUAGAUAUCACGCGGAACUCCGAUUGCGAAGGCAGCUUACUAAGCUACAACUGACACUGAAGCACGAAAGCGUGGGGAUCAAACAGGAUUAGAAACCCGUGUAGUCC
rnacentral:rRNA from 1 species